rnacentral:lncRNA from 10 species
ACUCAGGCUGGAUGGAGUGCAGUGGCACGAUCAUCACUGCAACCUUGACCUUCUGGGCUCUGAUGACCCUCCCACCUCAGCCACUUGAGCAGCUGGGACCACAGCCCACUGAGACCAAAGUCCAUGUGGUCAGACACAAAAGAGCCAUCGAUUGCUGAACCUGUUCACUCCUACCUUCAAAGGCACAAAAAGAACACAGGAAGUCAAUAUAAAGCAGGCUCAUAGGUGGAAGGGACUUGCCUUGUCUCAGAUGAGACUUCGGAUUGGACUUUUGGGUUAAUGCUGUAAUGAGACUCUCCUUUCCCAACUGAGUCAGUCAGAGGAGCCUGGGUGUCUGCAGGACAUAAUCUAAGACCACAAACCACCUUGUUCCACGUGAGAAGGAAACAAGAAAGAAGGGAGCCAGGGGAAUCCUGCAAAUUUUUAGGCAACCUCUUUAUCUAUUGGAUUACUGACUUGAGGCAAACAAGGAACAGAGAUAUGAAGGGUUUGAAAGAUUUCUCCAGUUGAUUGGCAGAGAAGAGCUGGCUAGCAGGGAGGACGACCCUAGGAGGGUGAAUUCUGC